UGGGGAAUUUUGGACAAUGGGGGAAACCCUGAUCCAGCCAUCCCGCGUGUGCGAUGAAGGCCUUCGGGUUGUAAAGCACUUUUGGCAGGAAAGAAACGUCGCGGGUUAAUACCCCGCGAAACUGACGGUACCUGCAGAAUAAGCACCGGCUAACUACGUGCCAGCAGCCGCGGUAAUACGUAGGGUGCAAGCGUUAAUCGGAAUUACUGGGCGUAAAGCGUGCGCAGGCGGUUCGGAAAGAAAGAUGUGAAAUCCCAGAGCUUAACUUUGGAACUGCAUUUUUAACUACCGGGCUAGAGUGUGUCAGAGGGAGGUGGAAUUCCGCGUGUAGCAGUGAAAUGCGUAGAUAUGCGGAGGAACACCGAUGGCGAAGGCAGCCUCCUGGGAUAACACUGACGCUCAUGCACGAAAGCGUGGGGGGCAAACAGGAUUAGAUACCCUGGUAGUCCACGCCCUAAACGAUGUCAACUAGCUGUUGGGGCCUUCGGGCCUUGGUAGCGCAGCUAACGCGUGAAGUUGACCGCCUGGGGAGUACGGUCGCAAGAUUAAG
rnacentral:rRNA from 1 species